rnacentral:rRNA from 1 species
UUUGUUACGUCGGAUGUGAAGACCUGAGGCUCAACCUCAGGCCUGCAUUCGAUACGGGCAAACUAGAGUUUGGUAGGGGAGACUGGAAUUCCUGGUGUAGCGGUGGAAUGCGCAGAUAUCAGGAGGAACACCAAUGGCGAAGGCAGGUCUCUGGGCCAAUACUGACACUGAGGAGCGAAAGUCUGGGGAGCGAACAGGAUUAGAUACCCUGGUAGUCCAGACCGUAAACGGUGGGCACUAGUUGUGGGAACCUUCCACGGUUUCUGCGACGCAGCUAACGCAUUAAGUGCCCCGCCUGGGGAGUACGAUCGCAAGAUUAAAACUCAAAGGAAUUGACGGGGCCCCGCACAAGCAGCGGAGCAUGCGGCUUAAUUCGACGCAACGCGAAGAACCUUACCAAGGCUUGACAUAUAGGGAAAAGUGGCAGAGAUGUCAUGUCCGCAAGGGCUCUAUACAGGUGGUGCAUGGUUGUCGUCAGCUCGUGUCGUGAGAUGUUGGGUUAAGUCCCGCAACGAGCGCAACCCUCGUUCUGUGUUGCCAGCAUUUAGUUGAGGACUCUAGAGAAACUGCCUACGUAAGUAGAGAGGAAGGCGGGGACGACGUCAAGUCAUCAUGGCCCUUACGCCCAGGGCUACACACGUGCUACAAUGGUAUGUACAAUGAGACGCCACCUGGUAACAGGGCGCAAACCUCAAAAAGCAUAUCUCAGUUCGGAUUGAGGUCUGCAACUCGACCUCAUGAAGCUGGAUUC